CACGUAGGGGGCGAGCGUUGUCCGGAAUUAUUGGGCGUAAAGGGCGCGUAGGCGGCCGUUUAAGUCUGAUGUGAAAGUGCGGGGCUUAACCCCGUAAAGCAUUGGAAACUGGAUGGCUUGAGGACAGGAGAGGAAAGUGGAAUUCCUAGUGUAGCGGUGAAAUGCGUAGAUAUUAGGAGGAACACCAGUGGCGAAGGCGACUUUCUGGACUGUUUCUGACGCUGAGGCGCGAAAGCGUGGGUAGCGAACAGGAUUAGAUACCC
rnacentral:rRNA from 1 species